UACGAAGGGGGCUAGCGUUGUCCGGAAUUAUUGGGCGUAAAGAGCGUGUAGGCGGUCCGGUAAGUCAGCUGUGAAAGUCAAGGGCUCAACCCUUGAAAGCCGGUUGAUACUGUCGGGCUAGAGUCCGGAAGAGGCGAGUGGAAUUCCCGGUGUAGCGGUGAAAUGCGCAGAUAUCGGGAGGAACACCAAUGGCGAAGGCAGCUCGCUGGGACGGUACUGACGCUGAGACGCGAAAGCGUGGGGAGCAAACAGG
rnacentral:rRNA from 1 species